UACGAAGGGUGCAAGCGUUAUUCGGAAUGAUUGGGCGUAAAGGGUGCGCAGACGGUGCGUUAAGUCAACUGUUAAAUUUCCUGGCCUAACUGGGAGCAAGCAGUAGAAACUGGCGCGCUAGAGGGUGGAAGAGAGAAGUGGAAUUCUCGGAGUAGCGGUAAAAUGCGUAGAUCUCGAGAGGAACACCAAUGCGAAGGCAGCUUCUUGGUCCAUUUCUGACGUUCAUGCACGAAAGCGUGGGUAGCAAACAGGAUUAGAAACCCUUGAUAAC
rnacentral:rRNA from 1 species